GAUGAACGCUGGCGGCGUGCCUAAUACAUGCAAGUCGAGCGAACUGAUUAGAAGCUUGCUUCUAUGACGUUAGCGGCGGACGGGUGAGUAACACGUGGGCAACCUGCCUGUAAGACUGGGAUAACUUCGGGAAACCGAAGCUAAUACCGGAUAGGAUCUUCUCCUUCAUGGGAGAUGAUUGAAAGAUGGUUUCGUCUAUCACUUACAGAUGGGCCCGCGGUGCAUUAGCUAGUUGGUGAGGUAACGGCUCACCAAGGCAACGAUGCAUAGCCGACCUGAGAGGGUGAUCGGCCACACUGGGACUGAGACACGGCCCAGACUCCUACGGGAGGCAGCAGUAGGGAAUCUUCCGCAAUGGACGAAAGUCUGACGGAGCAACGCCGCGUGAGUGAUGAAGGCUUUCGGGUCGUAAAUCUCUGUUGUUAGGGAAGAACAAGUACGAGAGUAACUGCUCGUACCUUGACGGUACCUAACCAGAAAGCCACGGCUAACUACGUGCCAGCCGCCGCAGUAAGAC
rnacentral:rRNA from 1 species